rnacentral:rRNA from 1 species
UACGUAGGUGGCAAGCGUUGUCCGGAAUUAUUGGGCGUAAAGCGCGCGCAGGCGGUCUGUCGCGUCGGCUGUGAAAACUCGGGGCUCAACCCCGAGCCUGCAGUCGAUACGGGCAGACUAGAGUGCGGUAGGGGAGACUGGAAUUCCUGGUGUAGCGGUGAAAUGCGCAGAUAUCAGGAGGAACACCGGUGGCGAAGGCGGGUCUCUGGGCCGUAACUGACGCUGAGGAGCGAAAGCGUGGGGAGCAAACAGG